GACGAACGCUGGCGGCGUGCUUAACACAUGCAAGUCGAGCGAGGUCCAACUGGUGGCAACACCAGGGAAGACCGAGCGGCGAACGGGUGAGUAACACGUGAGCAACCUGUCCCGAAGACC
rnacentral:rRNA from 1 species